AUGCAGUCGCCGGAGUCCUCCUCCUCCGCCGCGCCGGUCCUCCUCAACAUCGGGGGGACGAAGUACGCGACCACCGCCGAGACGCUCACGCAGCGGGAGCCCGACUCCAUGCUCGCCGCCAUGUUCAGCGGCAGGCACACGCUCCCGCACCACCCCACCACGGGGGCGGUGUUCGUGGACAGGGAUGGGAAGCAUUUCAGGCACAUCCUCAAUUGGCUAAGGGACGGUGCCAUCCCGGCGCUCUCGGAGUCCGAACACCACCAACUCCUGCGAGAGGCGGAGUACUACCAGUUGCUCGGUUUGGCUGAUUACAUUAAUGAGAAAUUGGCUUCCAAAAAGACUGAGAAUUCGUGUGAGGCUGAAUUGACACGCAAAGAUGUGAUCAAGUGCAUUCAAGCCCAGAAAAUCAGAUUUCGUGGCCUGAAUCUAUCCGGCCUUGAUCUAUCUAAACUUGACUUAUCAGAGGUGGACUUCAGUUAUGCGUGCAUCGAGAGAACCAACUUUUCAUGUGCUAAUCUUCAUAAAGCAAAAUUUAGGCUGGUGGAAGCUGCACAUUCUUCAUUUGAACAGGCAAAUUUACAUGAGUGUGAGCUUACUGGAGCAAAUCUUCAAGACGCUGUCCUAGACAGAGCAAACGUUCAAAGCGCAAACCUGCAAGAUGCAUGCUUAACGGGAUGUAGCUUCAUUGAGACAGAUGUCCGUUCAGCCCAUUUACAGAAUGCUAAUCUUACGGGUGCCGAUUUGAAUGGAGCUAACCUUGAAGGGGCCAAUCUCAAGGGGGCUAAGUUGUCGGGUGCAAACUUGCAAGGGGCAAAUCUUCAGCGAGCCUACUUGAGAGAAGUUGAUUUGCGUGAAACUGAUUUGACUGGUGCUAAGCUUGGAGGAGCAAAUCUUCUUGGAGCUAUCAGAUAG
rnacentral:rRNA from 1 species